CGCCACCCGUAACAGAGGAAAAGAAAAAUCUGGAAAAUAUCUCAUCUGCAAGGAAUCGAUAUAUGUGCGUGGCAGCUUCCUCCUUUCUGAAACACAUCGGAAGGGAUAGCCUAAUCUAGGUUUGAAAACUAAAAAAUAAACUCACCGGAGCAGGGAUAGGGGUUAGGGAACAGAGUGCCAAUGGCGUGCAUUAAUUCGACAUUAACCUGUGCCUUGAAGAACGGCAUCUAUCUUUCUUCUCACCGGGGAUCUUUCUUGCCUGGAUUUGAACGCUUGCCCACUCUCAGGAAUUCUGGUCCCAGAGCCACUUUAACUACCUCCUCCACCGAUGAUGAUGAUGGUGAUGAUUCAACAACAUCAAAAGUGAAGGACAGGAGGAGGCAUAUCUCACACACUGUUGAUCCUGACUCUCCUGCUUUUCUCCCGCUUCCUUCCUUCCAGGAAUGCUUUCCCAAGAGCACCAAGGAAUACAGUGAAAUUGUUCACGAACCAACGGGACAUGUGCUUCAAGUUCCCUUUCGAAGGAUCCAUCUAUCUGGAGAGGACCGAUACUUUGACACUUAUGAUACCAGUGGCCCACAAAACAUUGAUCCGCGACUUGGUCUUCCCAAGAUUCGCAAAGACUGGGUUGACAAACGAGAGAACUUCGGUGGACCCAGAUGUACGCAGAUGUUCUAUGCCAAGCAAGGUCUUAUUACUGAAGAGAUGUUGUUCUGUGCCACCCGUGAGAAGCUUGACCCAGAAUUUGUGCGUUCAGAGAUUGCACGGGGGCGUGCUAUCAUCCCUUCUAAUAAGAAGCACUUGGAGUUGGAGCCUAUGCUUGUUGGUAGGAACUUCUUGGUCAAAGUCAAUGCAAAUAUCGGAAAUUCAGCAGUGACAAGCUCUAUUGAAGAAGAAGUGCAUAAGCUUCAAUGGGCAACAAUGUGGGGUGCUGAUACAGUGAUGGACCUCUCUACAGGUCGGCAUAUCCAUGAGACACGUGAAUGGAUUUUACGUAAUUCUGGAGUGCCAGUGGGAACUGUACCUAUCUAUCAAGCACUUGAGAAAGUGAAUGGCAUCGCAGAAAAUCUCAACUGGGAUAUUUUUCGUGAUACUCUUAUUGAACAAGCUGAGCAGGGUGUGGAUUACUUCACAAUCCAUGCUGGAGUGCUGCUUCGUUACAUCCCUCUUACAGCAAAACGGAUGACUGGUAUUGUUUCUAGAGGAGGAUCUAUUCAUGCAAAAUGGUGCUUGGCAUAUCACAAAGAGAACUUUGCAUAUGAGCAUUGGGAUGACAUCCUUGACAUAUGCAAUAAAUAUGAUGUGGCACUUUCGAUUGGUGAUGGAUUGAGACCAGGUUCUAUUUAUGAUGCCAAUGACUCUGCUCAGUUUGCAGAGCUUCUUACACAGGGGGAGUUGACACGUCGAGCAUGGGAGAAGGAUGUACAGGUGAUGAAUGAAGGUCCCGGACAUAUUCCUAUGCAUAAAAUUCCUGAAAAUAUGGAAAAGCAGUUGGAAUGGUGCAAUGAGGCACCAUUUUAUACUCUUGGUCCAUUGACUACUGAUAUUGCUCCUGGAUAUGAUCACAUCACUUCAGCCAUUGGUGCUGCUAAUAUAGGAGCACUUGGUACCGCCCUUCUCUGCUACGUCACACCAAAGGAGCACCUAGGUCUGCCGAAUCGUGAUGAUGUUAAGGCAGGUGUUAUAUCAUACAAGAUAGCUGCUCAUGCAGCUGAUCUAGCAAAAGGCCAUCCUCAUGCACAAGCUUGGGAUGAUGCUCUGAGUAAGGCAAGAUUUGAAUUUCGGUGGAUGGACCAGUUUGCAUUGUCAUUAGAUCCUAUGACUGCCAUGGCUUUCCAUGAUGAAACCCUGCCAUCAGAGGGUGCCAAGUUGGCACAUUUCUGUUCUAUGUGCGGACCAAAGUUUUGCUCUAUGAAAAUCACAGAAGAUGUGCGGAGGUAUGCUGAGGAACAUGGAUAUGGGACUGCAGAGGAAGCUGUGCAACGGGGAAUGGAUGCCAUGAGUGCUGAGUUUUUAGCUGCCAAGAAAACUGUUAGCGGUGAGCAGCAUGGGGAAGUUGGGGGUGAAAUCUACCUUCCAGAAAAUUACAUUUUGCGCAAAUGAAGGGACAAUUGUGGGUACGAUUCUCUUGGAGCUAGAAGAUUUGGUGUUGCUUUAUUUUGUUUUAGUGGACAGGAGCCAUUCUUAUGGAGCCUUGACAGGGGCUGAGAGCAGGCUGAGAAAGUCCCUUUGAACCUGAACAGGAUAAUGCCUGCGUAGGGAGUGUGCAAUUGUUUUCUUUGUUUCCUUUUUUGUGAAUGUUCAGGGAAACAUGCAUCCCAUGGUUCCAGCUAGCUGAUUCAACACUUCUUGGCAUUGGCAUUGAAGUUGCUUACUGGGAAGUAAACCCAUUUGAACACUUGAUCUGAACGGCACUUUUUUUUUUCUUUAAUCUUUCUAAGUUCUGAGUAGGAUUGACCUUCCCUCUCAACAACAGGAGGUAACAGCAUUAUUAUCCAGUGAACUAGAUUUUAGAUUUGAAGGAUUACUAGGAUAAGUUCUCCCUUAAGAUGUGAAGUUAUUUAUCACUGGUGUGGUUUUGUUUGUCUUUGAUUACUAUGGAUCUAUGGGGUCGUAGAAGAUGCAUAGCGUCUGUAAUAGGUUAUAUGCAAUUACUUGUAAAUUCUAGACUCUCCAUGCAUCAUAUAGGGUGAAAAAAUAGUGUUGUUUCAAGAGUUAUAAUCCCUCUAUUCUGGGGAGUGGAAAACACAUGUUUGGGCAGCAUAUAUAAGAUAGUUUUCAUAUGCUUCAGUUGGUUUUAUGUGAGCCCAAAAAUUCACUUUUACUAAAGCUUGUGAAGUAAUCAGGCUUCUCGGUUUCUUCCCUUUGUUUAAAGCUUAAACUUAAGCAGUUUGAGUAAUGUAUUUUAGCUAUUGCAAUAGAUGGAUCUCUGAGCAGCCAGGAAAUGUUGGUGCAGGCUGCGAAAGUCCCUUUGAACAUGACCAGGGUAAUACCUGCGAGGGGAAUGUUCAGUGCUUCUAUGUUUUUCUUUUGAUGGUAGCCAGGUGGAUGGGUGGAUGAGUUCUCGCUAGGCUUAUCUUGCUGCUUUCUGGAGCAAACCUGUAGAGUUACAUCCGGACAUCAAGCAUCACAUUUAUCACGUUUGAAAUGUUAUGGUUUAGAUGUUUGAACUUCAUUGCCUAAGUAUGUACAAAGUUUGACAAGAAACAAGCGCGUGACAAAUAUUUAUAUAUAUUUUUAUGAAGUAAUAUUUAGAUUUUAGAUU